rnacentral:lncRNA from 1 species
CUGACACAUCAGGGGACUCAGAAAGACCGGAAUCAAAGGGUGGCAGCUCUCUCAUGCUCUUUGUCAGUCGAAGAGAGAGCCUGAUGCACCACCAGCUCAAAAUGGUCAGGUUUGUAGAAGAGCCACCUUUGCCCUGGCCUCUAAAGCAACUUCCUGCAGAUCCAGCUGGGAAAGCUAUGAUUCAGGGGCAACUUCUCUGGUCAUCUCAUCCCUGUUCCUGAGAGCAGCACUUCCCUGCUAGGAGGAAGGCAUUUGAAUAGAUCCACUGCUGUGGUUGAGGAGACACAGGUAUUCAGGGGAAACUGCCACAACAGAAAAACAAGAGCAUCCAGAGCAAGGAGCCCUCCUCUCAGAGAGGGGGGUCACUGAAGACAGUGAUCUGCAUUUUUCCAUAGAUGUCAUAAUGGUGGGUUUUAAAGGUAAAGAUGCCCCUUAGUGAAACCGGUUGCCCUAUGAGGGAAUUGAAAACAUCUUCGCCCACUAAUAAAGAUCCAUUGGCUUGAGACCUCUGUUAUGGUGGUGGGGGGGAAUGUUUGUGCUUGGAAGAGUUCCUUAGUUUAUAAUUAAGUAAUAAUGCAAUCUGUAGCCCUCUGCUCUCACUGUGGAAGCUCGGAAGAGGGCACAUACUCUUUCUUAGGGAGAGCUGAGAGUCCUUUUCCCUCUUGCUCUUUCCCAAAUCCUACCCCCUCAGCAAGGAAAGGAGUUUGCAGGGAUUCUCUCCACUCAGUAGAGGCUCAUUCUUCUGGCAUCCCAGAGAACAGAUGAUUGGCAAAAAUGAAAAUUCAUAUUCAUCCCUUUACACUCUGCUGCCCAACACAGUAGCUGCUAGCCCCGUGGCUGCUGCACACUUCAAAUUUGGCUAGUCUGAGUCAAGAUAUUCAGGGAGUUUAAAAUACAUACAAGAUUUCAAAGAUUUUGUAAAAGAAAAAGAGGUGGUUAUGGUCUACAUGUUGAAGUUUCUCAAAAUUAGUAUGUUGAAUGUCAUCCCAUGAUACCAAUAGGAUGGUAUUGGGGGCCUUUCGGGUUAGGGAAGUUAUGAGGCUAAAGACUCCAUGAUGUGAUUAAUGUCCU